UUUUUUUUUUAGCUUAUGAGCUCAAAAAAUUAUUAUAAACAAACAGAUUAAGCUUAUUUUAAGAACUUAUAAGUUAAGACAAACGUUAUCUUAUUCUCCUCAUGUAUGAGUUUUUGCUCUUUGAACCAUCUUUGAAGUGUAUGAUUUCUCUUCUUAUGUGGUGCAUAUGGCAUUCCUAUUCCCCAUCAGCCUUGCUCAUCUGGAUAUGCACCUAACAAUGAUGAGAGAUGUUGAAUAAAAAUGGUAAACCUCACCUGCACUAUAAAUUGUGAAGCCUCAUUAGGGUAUUGGUUAGGCCACUGUCACUUCAUUUAGCAUCAAUUUUUCUGUGCUGUAACAAUUUAAUCCAGAGAAGAGUUACAUUCUUUUGGCUCAUAGAGUUUCUAUUAGGCAUGGGAGUUCGUAAGCCAGUUAUGCAAUAUGCUUGGCCCUUUGUUUUCCACCGCAUCUACAAAACAAGAUUAUGAUUCCUUAAUAUAGUUUAAUUUCAUAGAUGAGAUUUCUCAUGUUGAAAAAGUAGCGGCUCAUUUCUAUGAUUUCCUUAAAUGUUUGAUUAAUAGUAUUAUUGUUUUUACUAUUUAAAGGAUAAUAUACACUUAUGUACCCAGUGGUUUAGCAAUUUUAUUAUCGAGGGCAUGGGAAAUUGUUUGUUGCAAGUUAAGACUUGUGAUUUUUUACCGUUAGCACUUGGGAAAUAAAAUGUCUUAACGGUGUCAAAAAUGCUGGCGUGGCAAUGUUAAAAACUGCCACCUCAGAAAAAAAAAGAGCCAUGUCAGCAUUUUUUAAAACCAUUAGACAUUUUGUCACUUGAAUGCUAAAGGUGCAAAACUAUAAAUCUUGACUUGCAACAAAAAAUUCCUCAGACUCUCAAUAAUUAAAGCACUAAACCACAAGAUACCUAGGCGUACUUUACGCUUAUUUAAAUCAGGUUCUCAUUGAAGCUGGAAAAUUCCUCAUAUUUGCUCUGUAUUUUUCUGUUGGUAUUAAAAUUGUAACACUACUUAUAAUGGAGUUAUGCAGAUCAUAAAGACUGCAAGUAUGAG
rnacentral:misc_RNA from 1 species